UACGUAGGGUGCAAGCGUUGUCUGGAAUUAUUGGGCGUAAAGAGCUCGUAGGCGGUUUGUCGCGUCUGCUGUGAAAACCCGAGGCUCAACCUCGGGCCUGCAGUGGGUACGGGCAGACUAGAGUGCGGUAGGGGAGAUUGGAAUUCCUGGUGUAGCGGUGGAAUGCGCAGAUAUCAGGAGGAACACCAAUGGCGAAGGCAGAUCUCUGGGCCGUAACUGACGCUGAGGAGCGAAAGCAUGGGGAGCGAACAGG
rnacentral:rRNA from 1 species